rnacentral:rRNA from 1 species
GUGGGGAAUCUUGCGCAAUGGGCGAAAGCCUGACGCAGCCAUGCCGCGUGGAUGAUGAAGGUCUUAGGAUUGUAAAAUCCUUUCACCGGUGAAGAUAAUGACUGUAGCCGGAGAAGAAGCCCCGGCUAACUUCGUGCCAGCAGCCGCGGUAAUACGAAGGGGGCUAGCGUUGCUCGGAUUUACUGGGCGUAAAGGGCGCGUAGGCGGACAUUUAAGUCAGGGGUGAAAUCCCGGGGCUCAACCUCGGAACUGCCUUUGAUACUGGGUGUCUUGAGUAUGAGAGAGGUGUGUGGAACUCCGAGUGUAGAGGUGAAAUUCGUAGAUAUUCGCAAGAACACCGGUGGCGAAGGCGGCCAACUGGUCCAUUACUGACGCUGAGGUGCGAAAGCGUGGGGAGCAAACAGGAUUAGAAACCCGUGUAGUCC